rnacentral:tRNA from 1 species
GGGGUUGUGGCUCAGAGGUAGAGCACUCACCUCACAUGUAUGAGACCCUGGGUUCGAUCCUCAGCACCACA